UCGAGUUUGCUUUCGAAGAAAGAAAUACGAAAGUUCUAGCGGUCUCUCAACUAUCAAAGAAUACAUUCUCUUCCCGUUUAGUUUUGCCGCCGCCCGAAAGAGUUCACAAAACCGCCAACCGACUUGAACUGAAAACGCAAGAAAGAAAGUUGAAAAAUGGAAAGCGGCAGCAAUAAGGAGCAAGUAGUGGACGUGCGAUCGGUGGUGGAAGCUAUUUCCGGCGAAGAUGAUAACAACGAUGCUCCUCUUUACCAGGUCGAAAGCCUUUGUAUGCGUUGCGGCGAAAAUGGAAUAACAAGGCUUUUACUGACACUAAUCCCGCAUUUCAGAAAGAUCUUGUUAUCAGCCUUCGAAUGUCCACACUGUGGUGAGAGGAACAAUGAGGUUCAGUUUGCAGGUGAAAUCCAGCCAAGGGGCUGUUGUUAUUGCUUGGAGGUGUCAUCAGGCGAUCAGAAGGUGCUUAAUCGACAAGUAGUAAAAUCGGAAUCUGCCACCAUAAAGAUUCCUGAAUUGGAUUUUGAGAUUCCUCCAGAGGCACAACGUGGCAGUUUGUCAACAGUGGAAGGGAUUUUGACUCGAGCUGCAGAUGAACUAGAGGCACUUCAAGAAGAGCGGAAGAAAGUUGAUCCUCUGACUGCUGAAGCAAUAGACCGGUUUUUAAUGAAAUUGAGAACUUGUGCAACUGGAGAUUCAUCUUUCACCUUCAUCCUAGAUGAUCCUGCUGGAAACAGUUUCAUUGAGAAUCCGUUUGCGCCAUCCCCGGAUCCAUUGUUGACUAUUAAGUUCUAUGAGCGAACUCCAGAGCAACAGGCGUCAUUGGGAUAUUUAGUCGACCCAUCACAGUUGGGAGAAUCUGGCAACAGAUCACCAUCAGAGGUGACAGGCAGUGUUCCUGAUCAAAGAAGAGGAGAACCUCAUGGAUCUGUUGGAGCAGUGGCUGGUCAUCGUGCCAUUGCUCAGAGUAACAGUGCAGAAAUUGCAGAUGCUAUCUUUCGCUACUCUGCACCAGAAGAGGUGAUGACUUUCCCAUCUACCUGUGGAGCUUGUGCCAGCAGGUGUGAGACUCGAAUGUUUGUCACCAAAAUUCCAUACUUCCAAGAAGUAAUUGUCAUGGCAUCCACUUGUGAUUCCUGUGGUUACCGCAAUUCUGAGUUGAAACCUGGUGGAGCAAUUCCUGAGAAAGGAAAGAGAAUCACUCUACAUGUGAAGAAUGUUAAUGACCUAAGCCGAGAUGUAAUAAAGUCGGAUACUGCAAGUGUGAAAGUCCCAGAGCUUGAGUUGGAGCUGGCUAGUGGUACACUGGGGGGAGUUGUUACAACUGUUGAAGGAUUAAUUACAAAAAUUAGUGAAAGCCUUGAGAGAGUGCAUGGAUUUACAUUUGGAGAUAGUCUCGAUGAACAUAAAAAAAGCAAGUGGCAAGACUUUAAAGCAAGGCUGAACAAGAGUCACUUGAGAACAGACUUAAAAGAUAUUUACUUUCCAGUUCACCAGCAAAGAACUUCACAUGUCAUUUGUGAAAAAAAUGUGCCGAUAUAUUUAAGAGACAUUUUUGUGGAUACAAGGACUUCUGAGUCUUGAUGCAUUAAGUUGAUACUGAAUGCCAAGGCACCGUAUACUGGUGUUUUUGAAGGGUUUAGAAAUUGAUGGUUACUCUUGUAUACAUUAAAGUCUUUCAUUUAUCCUCCAUUCUUCAGCUUUUGAAUGUGGAAGAUCCCUGGACCUUAAUUCUUGAUGAUGGAUUAGCAAAUUCUUUUAUUGCACCGGCAACUGAUGAUAUCAAGGAUGACCAUCAAUUGCUAUUUGAGGAAUAUGAGAGGUCUUGGGAGCAAAAUGAGGAGUUGGGACUAAAUGAUAUUGACACUUCUUCAGCUGAUGCUGCUUAUAACUUGACGGACACUACCCUAAAUCAGAAA